ACUUCUAUAUGACAAGGCAAAGACGCCUACUGGGAACUCUUGUGGCUGGAGGCCAGAGGAGGGUUCUUUUCCUGCUCUUGGGAACACACCCAGUUGACACAAGAGGAAAACCAGAACAGUUGGGCAGUUAAUACUGCAAGAAGAAACCUAACCAGUGAUGAAUGCAGCAUUGCUUGACUACCUCCAGUGACCUGAAGCUUACUCCUUUGAUAUUCCUUUUCCUUUGGAGACAUCUCCAAGCAGUAAGAUAUUUUUUCUCCAGUAAUGAAGGUUCUCUUGGAGUCAUGGAGGAAGGAUGAACACAUUUCUAUGAAGAGAGAUGAACCCCACUAUAACCUCUGGAAAGCAGAAAACUCAGCCCCAGGCAGGUGAAGGCUUCAUCUAGACAGCUGGAGGCCUGAUGAGAGCAAAGCACAAGUCUCCCCGGGGAAGAGAGAAUUCCACAGCAGGC
ensembl:lncRNA